AGAGUUUGAUCCUGGCUCAGGACGAACGCUGGCGGCGUGCCUAAUACAUGCAAGUCGAGCGGACAGAUGGGAGCUUGCUCCCUGAUGUUAGCGGCGGACGGGUGAGUAACACGUGGGUAACCUGCCUGUAAGACUGGGAUAACUCCGGGAAACCGGGGCUAAUACCGGAUGGUUGUUUGAACCGCAUGGUUCAAACAUAAAAGGUGGCUUCGGCUACCACUUACAGAUGGACCCGCGGCGCAUUAGCUAGUUGGUGAGGUAACGGCUCACCAAGGCGACGAUGCGUAGCCGACCUGAGAGGGUGAUCGGCCACACUGGGACUGAGACACGGCCCAGACUCCUACGGGAGGCAGCAGUAGGGAAUCUUCCGCAAUGGACGAAAGUCUGACGGAGCAACGCCGCGUGAGUGAUGAAGGUUUUCGGAUCGUAAAGCUCUGUUGUUAGGGAAGAACAAGUGCCGUUCGAAUGGGGCGGUACCUUGACGGUACCUAACCAGAAAGCCACGGCUAACUACGUGCCAGCAGCCGCGGUAAUACGUAGGUGGCAAGCGUUGUCCGGAAUUAUUGGGCGUAAAGGGCUCGCAGGCGGUUUCUUAAGUCUGAUGUGAAAGCCCCCGGCUCAACCGGGGAGGGUCAUUGGAAACUGGGGAACUUGAGUGCAGAAGAGGAGAGUGGAAUUCCACGUGUAGCGGUGAAAUGCGUAGAGAUGUGGAGGAACACCAGUGGCGAAGGCGACUCUCUGGUCUGUAACUGACGCUGAGGAGCGAAAGCGUGGGGAGCGAACAGGAUUAGAUACCCUGGUAGUCCACGCCGUAAACGAUGAGUGCUAAGUGUUAGGGGGUUUCCGCCCCUUAGUGCUGCAGCUAACGCAUUAAGCACUCCGCCUGGGGAGUACGGUCGCAAGACUGAAACUCAAAGGAAUUGACGGGGGCCCGCACAAGCGGUGGAGCAUGUGGUUUAAUUCGAAGCAACGCGAAGAACCUUACCAGGUCUUGACAUCCUCUGACAAUCCUAGAGAUAGGACGUCCCCUUCGGGGGCAGAGUGACAGGUGGUGCAUGGUUGUCGUCAGCUCGUGUCGUGAGAUGUUGGGUUAAGUCCCGCAACGAGCGCAACCCUUGAUCUUAGUUGCCAGCAUUCAGUUGGGCACUCUAAGGUGACUGCCGGUGACAAACCGGAGGAAGGUGGGGAUGACGUCAAAUCAUCAUGCCCCUUAUGACCUGGGCUACACACGUGCUACAAUGGACAGAACAAAGGGCAGCGAAACCGCGAGGUUAAGCCAAUCCCACAAAUCUGUUCUCAGUUCGGAUCGCAGUCUGCAACUCGACUGCGUGAAGCUGGAAUCGCUAGUAAUCGCGGAUCAGCAUGCCGCGGUGGAUACGUUCCCGGGCCUUGUACACACCGCCCGUCACACCACGAGAGUUUGUAACACCCGAAGUCGGUGAGGUAACCUUUUAGGAGCCAGCCGCCGAAGGUGGGACAGAUGAUUGGGGUGAAGUCGGAACAAGGUAGCCGUAUCGGGGGUGCGGCUG
rnacentral:rRNA from 1 species